rfam:Oryza glumipatula chromosome 1, whole genome shotgun sequence.
ACGUGGUACUACCUUGUAGGCUGGCCGUGUCUAACGUGUAACUGUCCGUCUUAUAUAAAAAUUUUUUAUAAUUAGUAUUUUCAUUAUUGUUAGAUGAUAAAACAUGAUUACUAUUUUAUACGUGACUUAUUUUUUAUUUUUUUAUAAUUUUUUUAAAGAAGAUGGGCGGUCAAACGUUGGACACGGAAACCCAAGGUUUAUCUUUUU